AUGAUGGCAUGUGCCCUCUCCAUCGCCCAGCCUACCGCCCUCGCGCCGUGCGGCGGCGGCGGCGGCGGCAGCAGCAAGAGCAUCCCCAGGAAUCUCCCGAAGCUGCGAAGCCCCAUGGUUUCAGGCAGGAUGAGAAGUCGCGGUGUCGUUGCCAGGGCUGCGCAGGACAGUUCAGAAGCCUCCUCCGGGAGCGUCGUCAAAUACGUCAAGAGUUCGUUCAACACUACUGAAGACAUAUUUGCUCUAGCGGGUAUCGGCUUUGCAGCCAUUGCGGCAUUCUGGGCUUCCAUGAUGCUUAUUGGGGUCAUCGACAAGCUCCCUGUUCUCCCUCUUUUCUUCGAACUAAUCGGAAUAGCAGUUGCAUGGUGGUUUAUCUACGGGAACCUCCUCUUCAAGCCAGACAGGGAAAAGUUUCUGGAGAACAUCAAAAGCUCAGUAUCUCGAAUCUUGGGGCAGUAA
rnacentral:rRNA from 1 species